UAUAGAAUGGAAUGAAGAUUUAUCGGAGUGAAAUUUUAUAACAAUGGUCUUAGUGGCGGACUGGUGAGUAACGCGUAAGGAACCUGCCUUUUAGAGGGGAAUAACAAUGAGAAAUCAUUGCUAAUACCGCAUAUGCCAUAAGUACUACAUGGUACUAGUGGGAAAGGAGUAAUUCGCUAAAAGAUGGCCUUGCGUCUGAUUAGAUAGUUGGUAAGGUAACGGCUUACCAAGUCGACGAUCAGUAGCCGGACUGAGAGGUUGAACGGCCACAUUGGGACUGAGAUACGGCCCAGACUCCUACGGGAGGCAGCAGUCGGGAAUAUUGCGCAAUGGAGGAAACUCUGACGCAGUGACGCCGCGUAUAGGAAGAAGGUUUUCGGAUUGUAAACUAUUGUCGUUAGGGAAGAGAAAGGACAGUACCUAAGGAGGAAGCUCCGGCUAACUACGUGCCAGCAGCCGCGGUAAUACGUAGGGAGCGAGCGUUAUCCGGAAUUAUUGGGUGUAAAGGGUGCGUAGACGGGAAAGCAAGUUAGUUGUGAAAUCCCUCGGCUUAACUGAGGAACUGCAACUAAAACUACUUUUCUUGAGUGCAGGAGAGGUAAGUGGAAUUCCUAGUGUAGCGGUGAAAUGCGUAGAUAUUAGGAGGAACACCAGUGGCGAAGGCGACUUACUGGACUGUAACUGACGUUGAGGCACGAAAGUGUGGGGAGCAAACAGGAUUAGAUACCCUGGUAGUCCACACCGUAAACGAUGGAUACUAGGUGUAGGAGAUAUUAAGUCUUCUGUGCCGUCG
rnacentral:rRNA from 1 species